rnacentral:rRNA from 1 species
AUUGAACGCUGGCGGCAGGCCUAACACAUGCAAGUCGAGCGGGGUUUUCGGACCUAGCGGCGGACGGGUGAGUAAUGCGUAGGAAGCUGCCCGAUAGAGGGGGAUACCAGUUGGAAACGACUGUUAAUACCGCAUAAUGUCUACGGACCAAAGUGUGGGACCUUCGGGCCACAUGCUAUCGGAUGCGCCUACGUGGGAUUAGCUAGUUGGUGAGGUAAUGGCUCACCAAGGCGACGAUCUCUAGCUGGUUUGAGAGGAUGAUCAGCCACACUGGAACUGAGACACGGUCCAGACUCCUACGGGAGGCAGCAGUGGGGAAUAUUGGACAACGGGCGCAAGCCUGAUCCAGCCAUGCCGCGUGUGUGAAGAAGGCCUUCGGGUUGUGAAGCACUUUCAGCGAGGAGGAAGGGUGGUGUGUUAAUAGCACAUCAUUUUGACGUUACUCGCAGAAGAAGCACCGGCUAACUCUGUGCCAGCCGCCGCUGUAAUAC